UACGGAGGGUGCAAGCGUUAUCCGGAUUCACUGGGUUUAAAGGGUGCGUAGGCGGGUCAGUAAGUCCGUGGUGAAAUCUCCAAGCUUAACUUGGAAACUGCCGUGGAUACUAUUGACCUUGAAUGUUGUGGAGGUUAGCGGAAUAUGUCAUGUAGCGGUGAAAUGCUUAGAUAUGACAUAGAACACCAAUUGCGAAGGCAGCUGGCUACACAAAUAUUGACGCUGAGGCACGAAAGCGUGGGGAUCAAACAGG
rnacentral:rRNA from 1 species